AAAUUUGCACCACAGAUAGAUGUUAGGCCAUGGAAGACUCCACUAAAUUUUGGAGGUGAUCCGGAUCCGGAUUCUAGCUCAGGAUUUGUUGGGAGUGAUCCGGAUCAAUAUCCAGGUUCUGCAGCAGACAGAUACGACAUCAUGAUG